GAGCCAAACAAGAUCCGUUUGACGUAGAUAAAACGAAUUAGUCUCAUGUAACCGGUGCCGUAGAUACGUUCGUGGGGAGCUGAUGCGCAUUAGCGUAGUGCGUAUUUGGAACGGAUCGCUCAUGUAACCCCGGUAUAUAAUGGGGUCUGUUAUUUGAUUUGAUUUUGUUAGGUGAAGAUGGAGAUGGCCUUGGAAAUAUGCGGAAGGCACUGUGACUAUAAAUAAUGGAAGGCUCGUUGCUGUCGGCGGUUCUGAAGUCAGCGGUUCGAUCCAGCUGAAGGACGUCACCUGGCAGGAAGUUGCAGAGUGUGGUGGCCAGUAUCAAGCCACAUUGUCCAGAAACCAUCACAUUAUCUCCAGGUCACUAGUCGCCGGUGCUCGAGCUGACGGCGUCGUUCAAGGGCUCCACGGUGACAAGCGCCGUCACCGUUGCCGCCGCCGCCGAGACCAUCCGACUCCUGGGCCCUGUUUCACGGCAGCGUACUGCAGCGCGCUACGCAGCGCUGCUGUGCUAGUGCGGCGAUUGAGACGAAUUCGGCUCGACGCUCCAGCGUUGCGAAACACCCGUGUCUAUGAAGGAUACGCCGAUACGUGCCCCAGCUUCAAGCCCUUCCCUCCCCCCCCCCCCGUCCCGUCCCAUCCCAACGGUGUUGGCCGAGAUUGGGGUUUGGUAUUUUAACGGGCUCUCCGAUGACGUCCCGCAAUUUGUGUUAUGUAAUUUGACGAUUAUGUCGUAGUCUCAUUCUGUCUCGAUAUGCUAAUAAAUGAUAAAUGGGACG
rnacentral:lncRNA from 1 species